rnacentral:rRNA from 1 species
AACGAACGCUGGCGGCAGGCUUAACACAUGCAAGUCGAACGCGCCCUUCGGGGCGAGUGGUAGACGGGUGAGUAACGCGUGGGAACCUACCUUUUGGUACGGAAUAACUCAGGGACACUUGAGCUAAUACCGUAUGUGCCCUUCGGGGGAAAGAUUUAUCGCCAAAGGAUGGGCCCGCGUCGGAUUAGCUAGUUGGUGGGGUAAUGGCCUACCAAGGCGACGAUCCGUAGCUGGUCUGAGAGGAUGAUCAGCCACACUGGGACUGAGACACGGCCCAGACUCCUACGGGAGGCAGCAGUGGGGAAUAUUGGACAAUGGGGGCAACCCUGAUCCAGCCAUGCCGCGUGAGUGAUGAAGGCCUUAGGGUUGUAAAGCUCUUUCGCCGGUGAAGAUAAUGACGGUAACCGGAGAAGAAGCCCCGGCUAACUUCGUGCCAGCAGCCGCCGUAACAC